rnacentral:rRNA from 1 species
UACGUAGGGUGCGAGCGUUAAUCGGAAUUACUGGGCGUAAAGCGUGCGUAGGCGGUUCGCUGUGUCCGAUGUGAAAGCCCCGGGCUUAACCUGGGAAUGGCGAUGGAGACUGCGAGGCUAGAGUUUGGCAGAGGGGGGUAGAAUUCCACGUGUAGCAGUGAAAUGCGUAGAGAUGUGGAGGAACACCGAUGGCGAAGGCAGCCCCCUGGGUCAAAACUGACGCUCAUGCACGAAAGCGUGGGGAGCAAACAGG